GAUGAACGCUAGCGGCAGGCUUAAUACAUGCAAGUCGAGGGGCAGCAUGGUGUAGCAAUACACUGAUGGCGACCGGCAAACGGGUGCGGAACACGUACAGAACCUUCCUUCGAGCGGGGAAUAGCCCAGAGAAAUUUGGAUUAAUACCCCAUAGUACAUUGAGGCGGCAUCGUUUUAAAUGUUAAAGAUUUAUCACUUGAAGAUGGCUGUGCGGCUGAUUAGGUAGUUGGCGGGGUAACGGCCCACCAAGCCUGCGAUCAGUAACUGGUGUGAGAGCACGACCAGUCACACGGGCACUGAGACACGGGCCCGACUCCUACGGGAGGCAGCAGUAAGGAAUAUUGGUCAAUGGACGAAAGUCUGAACCAGCCAUGCCGCGUGGAGGAUGAAGGUCCUC
rnacentral:rRNA from 1 species